UACGAAGGGGGCUAGCGUUGUUCGGAAUCACUGGGCGUAAAGCGCACGUAGGCGGCCUGAUAAGUCGGGUGUGAAAGCCCUGGGCUCAACCCAGGAAGUGCACUCGAAACUGUCAGGCUUGAAUAUGGAAGAGGGUCGCGGAAUUCCCGGUGUAGAGGUGAAAAUUCGUAGAUAUCGGGAGGAACACCAGUGGCGAAGGCGGCAUCCUGGACCGGUAUUGACGCUGAGGCGCGAAAGCCAGGGGAGCAAACGGG
rnacentral:rRNA from 1 species